rnacentral:rRNA from 1 species
GUGGGGAAUAUUGCGCAAUGGGGGAAACCCUGACGCAGCAACGCCGCGUGAAUGAUGAAGGCCUUCGGGUUGUAAAGUUCUGUCUUCUGGGACGAUAAUGACGGUACCAGAGGAGGAAGCCACGGCUAACUACGUGCCAGCAGCCGCGGUAAUACGUAGGUGGCAAGCGUUGUCCGGAUUUACUGGGCGUAAAGGAUGCGUAGGCGGACAUUUAAGUCAGAUGUGAAAUACCCGAGCUUAACUUGGGUGCUGCAUUUGAAACUGGGUGUCUAGAGUGCAGGAGAGGUAAGUGGAAUUCCUAGUGUAGCGGUGAAAUGCGUAGAGAUUAGGAAGAACACCAGUGGCGAAGGCGACUUACUGGACUGUAACUGACGCUGAGGCAUGAAAGCGUGGGGAGCAAACAGGAUUAGAAACCCUAGUAGUCC